CCUACGGGUGGCAGCAGUCGAGAAUCAUUCACAAUGGGGGAAACCCUGAUGGUGCGACGCCGCGUGGGGGAAUGAAGGUCUUCGGAUUGUAAACCCCUGUCAUGUGGGAGCAAAUUAAAAAGAUAGUACCACAAGAGGAAGCGACGGCUAACGCUGUGCCAGCAGCCGCGGUAAUACAGAGGUCUCAAGCGUUGUUCGGAAUCACUGGGAGUAAAGGGUGCGUAGGCUGUUUCGUAAGUCGUGUGUGAAAGGCGCGGGCUCAACCCGCGGACGGCACAUAAUACUGCGAGACUAGAGUAAUGGAGGGGGAACCGGAAUUCUCGGUGUAGCAGUGAAAUGCGUAGAUAUCGGGAGGAACACUCGUGGCGAAGGCGGGUUCCUGGACAUUAACUGACGCUGAGGCACGAAGGCCAGGGGAGCGAAAGGGAUUAGAUACCCUUGUAGUC
rnacentral:rRNA from 1 species